CGAGCGGUAGCACAGAGAGCUUGCUCUCGGGUGACGAGCGGCGGACGGGUGAGUAAUGUCUGGGAAACUGCCUGAUGGAGGGGGAUAACUACUGGAAACGGUAGCUAAUACCGCAUAACGUCGCAAGACCAAAGUGGGGGACCUUCGGGCCUCAUGCCAUCAGAUGUGCCCAGAUGGGAUUAGCUAGUAGGUGGGGUAACGGCUCACCUAGGCGACGAUCCCUAGCUGGUCUGAGAGGAUGACCAGCCACACUGGAACUGAGACACGGUCCAGACUCCUACGGGAGGCAGCAGUGGGGAAUAUUGCACAAUGGGCGCAAGCCUGAUGCAGCCAUGCCGCGUGUGUGAAGAAGGCCUUCGGGUUGUAAAGCACUUUCAGCGGGGAGGAAGGCGUUAAGGUUAAUAACCUUGUCGAUUGACGUUACCCGCAGAAGAAGCACCGGCUAACUCCGUGCCAGCAGCCGCGGUAAUACGGAGGGUGCAAGCGUUAAUCGGAAUUACUGGGCGUAAAGCGCACGCAGGCGGUCUGUCAAGUCGGAUGUGAAAUCCCCGGGCUCAACCUGGGAACUGCAUUCGAAACUGGCAGGCUAGAGUCUUGUAGAGGGGGGUAGAAUUCCAGGUGUAGCGGUGAAAUGCGUAGAGAUCUGGAGGAAUACCGGUGGCGAAGGCGGCCCCCUGGACAAAGACUGACGCUCAGGUGCGAAAGCGUGGGGAGCAAACAGGAUUAGAUACCCUGGUAGUCCACGCCGUAAACGAUGUCGAUUUGGAGGUUGUGCCCUUGAGGCGUGGCUUCCGGAGCUAACGCGUUAAAUCGACCGCCUGGAGAGUACGGCCGCAAGGUUAAAACUCAAAUGAAUUGACGGGGGCCCGCACAAGCGGUGGAGCAUGUGGUUUAAUUCGAUGCAACGCGAAGAACCUUACCUGGUCUUGACAUCCACAGAACUUACCAGAGAUGCAUUGGUGCCUUCGGGAACUGUGAGACAGGUGCUGCAUGGCUGUCGUCAGCUCGU
rnacentral:rRNA from 1 species